rnacentral:pre_miRNA from 17 species
AAAGAGCAGAGAUAGAACUGAUGUGUGAUUUAGGUAGUUUCAUGUUGUUGGGGCUCAAGUCUAUCUCUACAACACGAAACUGCCUGAAUUACUGCAGUUAUCGUCUUCGCCAGUGAGU